rnacentral:tRNA from 1 species
CUCACUAUCGGAUCGUUUUAGAAACAUCAGUGGCCAACGGUCGUCAGGAUCGUUGAGCUGCAUUGGCGGGAUUUCGCCGUCUACGUUUCUCUUUCUUCGCGGACGAACACGCGCUGGGCCUGUAUGCGCAGGAUCCCUGGUCCUUGACGGGAUAUGCGUUAGGGGCUUGUAGCUCAGUUGGUUAGAGCGCGCGCUUGAUAAGCGUGAGGUCGGAAGUUCAAGUCUUCCCAGGCCCACCACACUCAUCGAGUGAGCAUUCGUCUUCUGGUUACGGGGCCAUAGCUCAGCUGGGAGAGCGCGUGCUUUGCAAGCAUGAGGUCGUCGGUUCGAUCCCGUCUGGCUCCACCAGAUGGUUUGAUCAUCGACUGAUCGUGCACCUAAAAUCGUCCGCGAUACAUCACUUCGCAUCUUGCUAGUCUGGAUAGACAGCAGGUUGCGUGAUUUCUGACAUCGUAAAGAGGAGAUCGAUCCGAGUUGGAUCGGGCAACAAGCAAUUGUUGCGCGAUACUUCAUUAUCUCCGGAUCAUUUCGGCGCUCGCGCGCCUUUCGGUGUGGCCCACAAGGCUGCGUCUGAAAGACAUGCGAGUUGUAAAUGAUCCUUUUAGCGAAGCUUGACCGCCUCGCUAUCGGAACGAUCUUACGAAGCAAGCUGGUCUUUCUAAUCAUUGUCCGGCUGUGAGAAUAGCGUUCAUCGAGGGCGCGUGCCUUAGAGAUUUCGAUCUCUUGGCAGUUCUUACAGACAACAUUCUGCCGAGUGUGUGGACAUUGAUAAUGAGAGCAAUCAAGUGCCUUAAGGGUGUUCGGUGGAUGCCUUGGCGCUGAGAGGCGAUGAAGGACGUGCUACGCUGCGAUA